UGGUCUAACUCAGGAAACUGAGCUUCUGCUGGACAAGAACCUGGUGGGGUUUUGCAUCUGAAUACAUUCAGUUCCUAAUGAUAUUGUAAUAAAUUGGGACUAUAUAUGCCUCACAUAUUUCAAACUGCCUGAGCUAGGGAGAAUUUCAGUCUCAUUUAUAUCUCUCUUCACCCUACUGAGAUCACAAAGGCUCAUUAGCAACACAGUUUUAGAGCCACAGAAGACAGGAUCUGUCAUCAACAGAUGCGCAUAAAUCACAUUCUCAGAAACAUACAGGCAGGUAAUUCACACUGGCAACGAGGAAAGACAAAAGAAAGACCUUCCACAGUUUCUGACAGGACUGGAAACUCAUCAGUUGGAAAGACAACAAAGAAAGAGAAGGACCUGGGGGCAUAAUUUGAUCAUGGAUGAUUGUGGCCCGUCAGUGUGAUGCUGUCAUGAAAAAGACGUUUGUGAUCCCAGAACACACUAAGGUGCUUCCUGGACAGACUGAUUAAACAAUACUCAGCAAGGCACAGCUGAAAGCUCUUCUGGAA